GCUAGAUUGACAGACGUUAUGUUUUGAUGUUUUCAGAUACGCAAGGCAUUGCCCGAAUGUGUUACGGAGAUUUCCAUAUGAACACAUUAUUCCCGUUUUUAUGUGCUUAAGUUGACAACAGAUUGGGAGGUUUGAUCAUGCAUUAACCCUUGCAUUCAUCCCUGAAAUACAAUGGAAACGAUUUUCUUUGGAAGUGGGGUGUCUAAAAGUGUAGCCAAGGGGGUCAUCAUCUUAUGCACCUUGGCAAUAAGUUCACUGAUAAUUAGCCAUACAAUAUCACAGUACAUCCAAGAUGAUGAGAAUGCUUCACACAUGCCUAACAUUAUAUUGAUUGUUACUGAUGAUCAAGACAUGCUACUUCAGGGCAUGGAACCCAUGACAUUCACCAAGACAUUCUUUGAAACUGGUGGGAUCACAUUCAAAAAUGGUUUCGUCUCCACGCCGGUGUGCUGUCCGAGCCGAGCCUCUAUGCUGACCGGCCGGUACCAGCACAACACGCGCGUCAUCAACAACACCCUGCGGGGCAACUGCUGCGGCAGCGACUGGCGGCACGGCGCGGAGCGGCGCACGGUCGCCGCUCACCUCCGCCGGCGCGGCUACCACACAUUUUACGCUGGCAAAUACCUC